UCCCUGGCUGUCCAGUGGUUAGGACUCUGCACGCUGAAUGCAGAGGGCCCAGGUUCAAUCCCUGGUCAGGGAA